rnacentral:rRNA from 1 species
UGGGGAAUCUUGCGCAAUGGGCGAAAGCCUGACGCAGCAACGCCGCGUGAGGGAUGGCGGCCUUCGGGUUGUAAACCUCUUUCGACCGGGACGAAGAGAGAUUGACGGUACCGGUAUAAGAAGCACCGGCCAACUACGUGCCAGCAGCCGCGGUAACACGUAGGGUGCAAGCGUUAAUCGGAAUUACUGGGCGUAAAGCGCGCGUAGGUGGUUUGUUAAGUCGGAUGUGAAAUCCCAGGGCUCAACCUUGGAAUGGCACCCGAUACUGGCAGGCUAGAGUACGGUAGAGGGGUGUGGAAUUUCCUGUGUAGCGGUGAAAUGCGUAGAUAUAGGAAGGAACAUCAGUGGCGAAGGCGACACCCUGGACUGAUACUGACACUGAGGUGCGAAAGCGUGGGGAGCAAACAGGAUUAGAUACCC